rnacentral:misc_RNA from 1 species
GUGAAUCAUCGAAUCUUUGAACGCACAUUGCGCCCGCUAGUAUUCUGGCGGGCAUGCCUGUUCGAGCGUCAUUUCAACCCUCAAGCCCCCGGGCUUGGUGUUGGGGAUCGGCGAGCCUCUGCGCCCGCCGUCCCCCAAAUUUAGUGGCGGUCACGUUGUAACUUCCUCUGCGUAGUAGCACACUUAGCACUGGGAAACAGCGCGGCCACGCCGUAAAACCCCCAACUUUUGAACGUUUGACCUCGAAUCAGGUAGGAAUACCCGCUGAACUUAAGCAUAUCAAUAAGCGGAGGA